rnacentral:snRNA from 1 species
GAGUAUGAGAGUGAUCUGGUUGCAACAUCUGUCAUGCCAUUGAUUGCCAGGCUAGCUUUAUUAGUUCUGGCUGGCUAGGCAAGUGUCUCCUUUCUUCCUUACCUUUCCAGAUACAUCUCUUCCUUGACAUACAUCUGUCAAGGAAGGCAUGAUUCUCUAAUAAAGUAGACCAUUCUUCAAAGAAGGCUU